GGGCUACGGUCAUGAGGCAUGCCCAGGGCUGUCGCUGACUUUCACAGGUCGUGCACGCCCAAAGGUGCUCUCUUAUGUCCAUCUCACCCCUUUGUGCAUCACCGCGUGUGCCCCCCUAUUGGGCUCGUUCCAAAGGGGGGUUUCACGUUUUAACACAUACACCAAUUUUUAAGAGCAUGUGUAGAAUGUCUUACCUUUUUGCGAUUAUGCGCAAUCAAUACAACUUUCAACAACGGAUCUCUUGGCUCUCGCAUCGAUGAAGAACGCAGCGAAAUGCGAUACGUAAUGUGAAUUGCAGAAUUCAGUGAAUCAUCGAAUCUUUGAACGCACCUUGCGCCCCUUGGUAUUCCGAGGGGCACACCCGUUUGAGUGUCGUGAACACCCUCAACCUUCUUGGUUUCUUGAUCAGGAAGGCUUGGACUUUGGAGGUUUUUCUUGCUGGCCUUUCUUUGAAGCCAGCUCCUCCUAAAAGGAUUAGUGGGGCUCGCUUUGCCGAUCCUUGACGUGAUAAGUAUGCUUCUACGUCUUGGGUUUCGAACGAACCCGCUUCAAACCGUCUUUGAACAAAGACAACGUUCGAGUUGCAUUGCGACUCGAACACAGCGACCUUGACCUCAAAUCGGGUGAGACUACCCGCUGAACUUAAGCAUAUCAUAAGGCGGAGGAGGAAC
rnacentral:rRNA from 1 species